GAUGAAGAACGUAGCGAAAUGCGAUAAGUAAUGUGAAUUGCAGAAUUCAGUGAAUCAUCGAAUCUUUGAACGCACAUUGCGCCCGCCAGUAUUCUGGCGGGCAUGCCUGUUCGAGCGUCAUUUCAACCAUCAAGCCCUGCUUGCGUUGGGGUCCUGCGGCUGCCCGCAGGCCCUGAAAACCAGUGGCGGGCUCGCUAGUCACACCGAGCGCAGUAAUACAUCUCGCUUUGGGCGUGCGGCGGGUUCUUGCCGUUAAACACCCCCUUUUUACCAAGGUUGACCUCGGAUCAGGUAGGAAUACCCGCUGAACUUAAGCAUAGCAAUAAGCGGAGGA
rnacentral:misc_RNA from 1 species